UACGGAGGGUGCAAGCGUUGUCCGGAUUUAUUGGGUUUAAAGGGUGCGUAGGCGGUCUUUUAAGUCAGUGGUGAAAUCCUCCAGCUCAACUGGAGAACUGCCAUUGAUACUGGAAGACUUGAGUAUAGUUGAGGUAGGCGGAAUUGACAGUGUAGCGGUGAGAUGCAUAGAUAUUGUCAAGAACCCCGAUUGCGAAGGCAGCUUACUAAACUAUAACUGACGCUGAGGCACGAAAGUGUGGGGAUCAAACAGG
rnacentral:rRNA from 1 species